rnacentral:lncRNA from 1 species
CAGGCACUGCAUCAAUCAAGAAGGUGUCUGAAACAGCCAAGAGUCUUGGUGCAGCUGGCUUUGUUGUUGCUGUGGAGAACACUUAUCCAGGAACCAAAUUUGAUCCUGUACCUGUUGGUAUCCCUGGGAUUCUCAUCUCAGAUGUCAGUAUGACAAAGGUACUUAAUAUUCUGAUGCCUCUCUUUUGGUUCUUAUUAUCAAUCAUGUAAAUUGAUGGUAGUUUAUAAAUUAAUUGUAAUUGCUUGCAACUGGAUUUUUCAACUGUAUCACUCAUGUUGCUAGAACCACAUAACUUUGCACCUACAUGGGCUCCAGAGUACUUCAAGAUGCAUGUUUCAAGAGUUCCUCUUAUGUUUUGAGGAAGCCUCCAAAUUUCUUCCAUUUUUUUUUUGAAUUUUCCGUAUACUUGACAAAAUGAACUGCAUAUGAGGUGUCAGCCUUUUGCAAAAAUGUCGCAAAUGUGACACUUGAAGCAUGCGAUCUCGAUGUUCUAAAAUAGCUUCAAUCAUUUAAUUUAAAAAUGUUGGACUACUGGUGUUUAUGUUUCAAGCAAGGUCCGCCGAACCAGUACCGGAACCUGUACCGGUCAGCGGACGAGUUGGUACGGGUACCGGUUCGGCACCGUAUUGAUAUGGUACGGUAGGGCGUGCCAAUUUGGAACCGGCACACUUAAUUUUUUUUUGUGGAGUUUUUCAAGUUGAUUUAAUUGGUAAUCAAUCUUUUUGAACUUUUCAAUGAUUUUAAGUCUAAUUUGAUGUUUUUUCAUUGUUUUUUGAUGUUUCUAUGAUUCCGGUUUAACCUAAAUAGUGCAUCUUAUUAUUUUAAAAUGAUACAAAUCAUAAAAUGAUUAGUGAGAUGUUGCAUGCUACAAGAAGCAACAUGAAAUAUUCCUAAAUCAAGUAGUGAGGUAAAAAAUAUAAAAUAGUACAAUCAAUUACAUAUAUUUAAAGUACAACAUACAUAGAAAUAUCUAAAAUUGGAUUGAGUGGCGAUGCCUCUCGCAGAUAUCUGGAUCAUCAGUAUAGUCAGGAGGCACAUCAGCCCACCAAUCUAACCAAGCGGCGUUGUAGUCUUGUAUGUUCAUCUUAUAAGGAACGCGCUCUGGAUUAUAAGCACUCUUGGAUCUCUUGUUGAAGCUCUGGCUUUGAGAGGUCCUCUGGCUAAUAAACUGGCUAAUAAAACGACUGUGAAGGAGCCCAUCCGAAUAAGCCGAUAGCAAAAUCCGACCCAUAAAACGCUUCGAGCUGCGUAUGAUAGUAACUAUCAGAAGAUGCCUCAGACGUACCAUAUCCGUAUCCGCAUGGAUCAUAGGUUGCUUGUGGCUGCAGGUAAUAGGAUCCAGUAUACGACUUGAAAUUUGAUACGUAUAUGGAUUCUACUCCAUAUACGAGGUCAUUUGCAGCUGCAUCGUGUUCUCCUGAAUGGCUUCAAGGAGCUUGUCUUCUAUAUUCCAUCAGAUCCUGGCGGGCUCCCCUAGAUUGUGCACCGUGAUCCCUAUGCUGUGUAGCAUGCGUAAACUGAAACUCACUGGUGGAUCGGUAUGUAUGGUUUACUUUAAAUAUAUGUAAUUGAUUGUAUUAUUUUAUAUUUUUUUGCCUCACCAGAUUUGAGAAUAUUUCAUGUUGCUUCAUGUAGCAUGCAAUAUUUCACUAAUUAUUUUAUGAUUUGAAUCAUGUUAAAACAGUAAGAUGCAUCAUUUAGGUUAAACCAUCUCAUAGACUUCUACAAUAGUUCAACAAAAAGAGAUUGGGCUGGUAGGCCAAUAAGUUUCCACGCAAUGGCUAGCAUAGCAGAUGGUUUGGCACCUAUACUUCAUAAAUCAGCUCCCCAAGUUGCAAUAUUCUCUUCUCGAGGACCAGAUGUAAGAGAUUUCAGCUUUCAGGAUGCUGAUGUCCUAGGAUCAUAGAAAUAUCAAAAAAAUAAAAAAAAUCAAAAAAGAUGAAAUAGACUUGAAAUCGUUGAAAGAGUUCAAAAAGAUUAAUUAUCAAUUAAAUCAACUUGAAAAACUUCCACACAAAAAAAUUGGGCAUGUCAGUAUGGAACCGGCACGUCCUACUGUACCGUGUGUCGGUACGGUAUUGGUUCGACGACCGGUAUCGGUUCCGGUACCGAUUCGGCGAACCUUGGAGGAAAAGUUUAGAUAGCUUUUGUUCCAUAUGUUAAAAGGGCAGUUUUUUCAAAACUUUGAUAGAGCAUUUCCACUGUAUUUAAUAGUAUGGAGGCUGAAGGAAUUUUAAGUAGAGAGCUGAAAGUUACCCCCAUGGUAUGCCGAACCGGCCUGUACGGGCCGGUACGAACCGGUCCGGCCAACUACCGGUACGCCGAAGCCAUGGAAACCGGUACGAACCGGUUCUGUGCUGGAGAUGAAGAAGACAGAGAAGGAGAGAGCGUGGGGAAGGAAAAAAUUUGGAAAUUUUUAAGUGAAGUCGUUAAUCGAUUUGCCGACUUCACUUAAAACCCCCAAAUUAAAAAUCCGUGGCUGCAUCCCUUGUUUCGAAACAGGAGGCGGGGCCGCGAUCUCGGCCUCCGCCGCGCCCCUGUGGCUUUCCCUGCCCCCCGCCGGGCUCCGUCGCCCCUCCACGGCUCUCCGAUGGCGGCCACAGGUGUCCUUUCUCCCUCUCUUCCCCACGCUCUUUCUCGUUCUCUUCUUCCCCGACUCCGGCGGGGAAGAGCUGGCCGGUUCGUACCGCCCGAUUUCGGUACAAACCGGAACCGUACCGGUACGCCUCCCGGAUCCGGUACGGUGGAUCUUGGUUACCCCCAACCAAGAUUCUCCGAAUUAGUGCCGGGGCUUGUACUGGCCGGAGACUGGUUUUGCACCGUACAGAUCCGUACUGCCAUACCUUUCCGUUUCGGGGUGCAUAGAAACAUGGAUAGAGUGGGGGAGAGGUAGGGAGAGAGGAAGAGAGAGGGAGGGAGAGGGAGAGUGGGGAGAGAAAUAAGGAGGGGAGUGAGAGAGGCCGAUGCUGACAAGGAGUUUGGACGGGGGAUGGAGGCCGGCGUGAAGAUCAAGAGAGGGGGGUGGGAGAGAUUUACCUCAGAUUGUUGAGUUUCGAAGGAGGACAAAGGGUUUCAAAAGAGGAUGGAGGCCAGAGGGUUUCGAAGGGGCCUCCGGCAUUUCUUUGGCCUUCAAAUCGGGCGAAUAGUGCGAAGUGGUAAAUAUAGUCUUGAGCCGAGGGUUUUGAAGCGAAGGUAGCCACAUGGAGGGCAUUUCAACUGGCUGGCUUCAUGUCUCAUUUCGAGCCAAUGAACAAUAUCGGCAGUCGACCGGUCCGGUUCAGCACACCCCGAACUGCCCGGUUUGGCAUGGUUCGUUAAUCCAUGCCUCACACCCUUCCAUUAAAAGGGUAAAAGAAAGAAAUUAUGCGUCAAAAUUCACUGUUGGCAUCCAGACCACAACAGGAACAAGAUCACAAAUAUUCCUUGUAUUUGGUCAUUUAAAUCAUACUUGAACAUCAGCGACUAAUUUGUGGUUCUCCUAGUGGCUUAUUCUUGUUAUCCAAAGUUCUGUGCUGAUAUAUCAUCCACUAUUUGUUAUCCAUUCAUGCUAAUAUCUUAUUCUGAAUUUAAUUUGCUGACAAUUUAUUCUCUUUGAAAUCCUUGAUUACAGGAUCUCAUAGACUUCUACAAUAGUUCAACAAAAAGAGAUUGGGCUGGUAGGCCAAUAAGUUUCCAAGCAAUGGCUAGCAUAGCAGAUGGUUUGGCACCUAUACUUCAUAAAUCAGCUCCCCAGGUUGCAAUAUUCUCUUCUCGAGGACCAGAUGUAAGAGAUUUCAGCUUUCAGGAUGCUGAUGUCCUUAAACCAGA